rnacentral:rRNA from 1 species
UUCAAGGCCUUAAGUAUUUUUAUGUUCAGACAGAUCGAUUCAAGCAAUCUAAACAUUCCUAAACCUCAAUUCAAAUUAGAAAUCAAUCAAUCAAGAUCAUUCUUAAAAUCGGCUACAAGCUUCUUUUAGGGUUUAGGGUUUUCGAUUCCUUGAUUAGGGUUUCUCAAUUUUAGAUUCAAUCAAUCAACAUUCAACCAGGUUCUAAUUGGAAUCGAUUUAUGUUUCUAGUUCUAAGAGAUUGUCGAUUUUAAUCUCAUUGUUUCUUUUAGGGUUUCAUCAAGACAUGGAAUUAGGGUUCUUAUUUUCUAUGUUCUAGGAUCCAGAUACCUCUGUUUGAAGGGUUGAACCGGACCACCAAGAAACUGAUGAACCUCGGACCUUGACUGGACAGACACUGCUCCCUAUGAGAUUAAGCGGAUGGCAUAAGAAGCUGAUUGGCUGGAUCCCUCAGGGUGCACAGCCGACCGACCAUGAUUUUACUAGAAGGGUUAGGUGAAAUGAGCAUGCCUGUGGGACCGAAGGAUGGUGAACUAUGCCUGAAGCGAGGCCCGAAACAGAGAGAGGAAAACUCUGGUGGAGGCCAGCGAUCUGUGAUGCAAAUCGUUCGUCUGACUUGCUUGCGGGGCGAAAAGUAUCGAACCAUCUAGUAACGCUGGUUCCUCCGAGAGAAGUUUCCCUCGGAAUGGUAGACUCGGAAGCGAGUUAUCGGGUAAACCAAUGAUUAGAGACGCCGGGGGCCGCAACGUCCUCGACCUAUUCUCAAACUUUAAAUAAUGGGUAGGACGAGUUGGCUGCUUUAACUGAACCAUCCGCAGUCGAGAGUAGUGGGCCAUUUUGGUAGCGGUGGCGAUGCCGGGAUGAACCAGGAAGCGAUUCUGAUUCUGAUUCUUAACUAGAACCCCAAAAGUGUUGGAAUUACGAUUAAAGGGCCGGUGGUCAUGGAAGUCGAAAUCCGCUAAAGUGUGUAACAACUCACCUGCCGAAUCGACUAGCCGAAAAUGGAUGGCUGAAGCCUUGCGACCUAUACCGACCGUGGGGCAAGAGCGAGGCCUCGAUGGUAGGAGAGAGGCGGUCGCUACAAAACCUAGAGGCUUGAGCCUGGCCAGGCGACCGUCAGUGCAGAUCUUGGUGGUAGUAGCAAAUAUUCAAAUGAGAACUUUGAAGGGCGAAAGGGAAAGGUUCCAUGUGAGCGGCACUUGCGCAUGGGUUAGUCGAUCCUAAGAGUCGGAAACCGUCUGAUAAGCGCUUAUCUUGUGAACCCGAGGAUCGGUUAAAAUCCCGGAACCGGGGACGUGGCGGUUGGCAGCGUUAGGGAGUCCGGGGCGUGGCGGGAAUUCCGGGAAAGAGUUAUCUUUUCUGUUUAACAGCCUGCCCACCCUGGAAGCGGCUCGGCGGAGGUAAAGUCCAAUGACUGGAAGAGCACGCCGCGUCGCGUGGUGUCGGUGCAUUCCGGCGACUAUGAAAAUCAGGAGGACGAGUGCGCUCGCCCGGUCAUUACUCAUAACGCAUCAGGUCUCCAAGGUGAAACAGCCUACAGUCGAUGGAACAAUGUAAAGGAAAUGGCCAAAAUGGAUCCGUAACCCGGAAAAGGAUUAGCUCGAGGGCUGGGCUCGGGGUCCCGAUUCGAACCGUCACUGUUGGCGGGCUGCUUGAGCAGUCGCGUGAAAGCGGACCGCCCUCGUGUCGGCGGGGGCGGACUGGGAAGCGGCUCUUUGGGAGCUUUCCCGGGCGUCGAACAGCUUGACUUCGAGAACUGAAAUGCGGACAAGGGAAUCCGGCAUUUAAUUAAAACAAAGCAUUGCGAUGGUCUUGCCGGAUGCUAGCUUAAUGAUGAUUUCUGCCAGUGCUCUGAAUGUCAAAGUGAAGAAAUUCAAUAGCCCGGAGUAAGCGGUAGGGAGUAACUAUGACUCUCUUAAGGUAGCCAAAUGCCUCGUCAUCUAAUUAGUAAUGGCAUGAAUGGAUUAUGAGAUUCCCACUGUCCCUGUCACUAUCCAGCGAAACCACACCCGAGGCGGGCUUGGCGAGAAUCAGCGGGGAAAGACCACCCUGUUGAGCUUGACUCUAGUCGACUUUGUGAAAAAUGACUUGAAGGUGUAGAAUAAAUUGGAACUCGCGCCAAGUGAAAUACCACUACUUUUAGCGUUAUUUUACUUACUCAAGUGAAUCGGAAUGGUAACAACCCCUUCUUUUAGACCAGACUUCGCUUGAGGUCGAUCCGGCGGAGGACAUUGUCGGUGGGGAGUUUGGCUGAAGGCGGCACAUCUGUUAAAAGAUCGCGCAGGUGUCUAAGAUGAGCUUCAGCGAGAAAGAAAUCUCGUGUGGAACAAAGGGUAAAAGCUCGUUUGAUUCUGAUUUUCAAUGCGAAUCUGAACCGUGGCGUGGCCCUAUCGAUCCUUUAGAUCUUGAAUUUGAAGCUAGAGGUGUCGGAAAAGUUACCACAGGGACUGGCUUGUAGCUGGCAAGCGUUCAUAAGCGACGUUGCUUUUGAUCGCCGAUGUCGGCUCUUCUAUCAUUGUGAAGCAGAAUUCACCAAGUGUUGGAUUGUUCACCCGCAAUAGGGAGCGUGAGCUGGGUUUAGACCGUCGUGAGACAGGUUAAUUUUACCCUCUUGAUGCCAGCGUCGCAAUGGUAAUUCAACUGUAUGAGAGGAACCGUUGGUCGCACAAUUGGUCAUCGGCGGUUGAAAAACCGAUCAGCGUGAAGCUACCGUCGCUGGAUUAUGACUGAGCGCCUCUAAGUCAGAAUCGGGCUGGCGGCGCGUCGCCCGCGCCGCCGAUUGCCGACCCUCGAUGGAGCUUGGCUCCCAAACGCGAUGUCGUUGGCUAAGUCCGAUUCGUGAGCGCCGUUCGGACCAUAUGAAUUAUAAUUACCACCGGCGGUGGGUAGAAUCGCUUGCGAGGCGAAAUGCCAGCGGCGGGGUAUUGU